AUUGAGUUCAACCAAACACCCAGGAGCCAACAUCCUUAUUCUUAAAACCCUAAUUCACCAAAUUCUACUCAAAAUCAAAGAGAGAAACAGAAUUUCAAUCGAUUCUAAGCUGAAUUCGUGAUCCUCAUACUUAGUAGAUCACAAGGUAUGUGUAACUGAAUCAAAUUUUGGAUGAAGAUCAAGCUAGUUCUGAACCGAACACGCACACAUGAUGAAGCUUCCGAAAUGAAACUAUGUCGUUAAUUACUAAACACCUAUGUGAUGUUUUGUUAUACUUUGAUAAAUAUUGUUAAAUGUUUUUAGCAAGUUAAGUAUGUGUUGAAAUAACGGUAUGGUUUAAACUUUGGUAAACAUCGUUUGAAUGUUUUGAAUGCUUUAUGAAUGUCAAGUAAAUAAAUGAUAUUGGAUCAAAACUGCAUUUAAAUACAUUAUAUAGUA
rnacentral:lncRNA from 1 species